GACAAACGGCCUUGUGUUCUAUACAGAACCCUGACAAACGGCCUUGUGUUCUAUACAGAACCCUGACAAACGGCCUCAUGUCAACGAUGACUAUGAAAGGUAACAAAUGGAAGAGGGCCUUUGAGGACUCCAACCUUUGCAGUGUCAUUAUAGCAAGUAUGAGUCUUGGCGAAUCAAAGGCUAAAGAGGCAGAUAUAUUAAAGGCGAUGUCAACCUGCCUGAAAUAUGCACCUGACUGCAAGGGGGCCAGUGGGAGAGCCAAUGAGAGUUCUUAAGAAGUUAAAGCAUCAAAGCCUGUUCUGACAGGGCAUUUAUUUGGUUUAUUGUAUCUGAUUUUGGUUUCCAGAAGCCUGGGCCAGAAAUUCAUUUUUUGGCUUAUAUAUAUUUUUUUAAAUCAGCUUUUACAUUUAUUUUGUGGUGCAAUAAUUUUUCAUUUCAACCAUUCUUGACUUUUUGGGGGGAUUUGUUUUUACAUGGACAAAGGUUUACACAAUGCUGUGUUGUGUUACACAGAAUUACAAUAGCCUACAGGAAUAUAGACCCUAAAUCUGGAAGAUACAUUUUGCACGGAGAGUAGAAUUGUAUUAUACAUAUUAGGGUGCUUUUCAAGAGUGUGCAACAUCAGAAAGGUCCUAGUCCUAGUUUGUUUUCCUAUUCUUAGCUCUUAUCCUUAUUUAAUGUAAAGAACCCUACAUCACAAAAUGGCAACUGCUUCUAAACAGCUCAUCGACACACUUCAUGGAUUAGUGAUAAGGUCAAAAUCAGUGUUUAGGUCAAAUGAGGUCACAAUGUGUUCUCAAUGUUGCUCCAAUAUUUAAAUGUAGUUGAUGUAUUAGUCAAGUAUAGUUUUCAAACUCUAAAGUACCUACAUUUAAAAAACGACAACUGUUGGCUGUCUUUUUGAGUGGGUGAAUAAAGGUUGAAAUGUCAUUGAUCAAUGUCUCAACCAAAUAUUACCCAAAUGUCCACAUUUGAAAUGACUGCUCAUUCAGAAAAAAAGACACCAUAAAUGUUUCAAAACAUCUUCACCAUCAAAGUAAACAACUUUAAAGUGGCA